GACGAACGCUGGCGGCGUGCUUAACACAUGCAAGUCGAACGAAGAGCGAUGGAAGCUUGCUUCUAUCACUCUUAGUGGCGAACGGGUGAGUAACGCGUAAUCAACCUGCCCUUCAGAGGGGGACAACAGUUGGAAACGACUGCUAAUACCGCAUACGAUCUAAUCUCGGCAUCGAGGAUAGAUGAAAGGUGGCCUCUACAUGUAAGCUAUCACUGAAGGAGGGGAUUGCGUCUGAUUAGCUAGUUGGAGGGGUAACGGCCCACCAAGGCGAUGAUCAGUAGCCGGUCUGAGAGGAUGAACGGCCACAUUGGGACGGAGACACGGCCCAGACUCCUACGGGAGGCAGCAGUGGGGAAUCUUCCGCAAUGGACGAAAGUCUGACGGAGCAACGCCGCGUGAGUGAUGACGGCCUUCGGGUUGUAAAGCUCUGUUAAUCGGGACGAAAGGCCUUCUUGCGAACAGUUAGAAGGAUUGACGGUACCGGAAGAGAAAGCCACGGCUAACUACGUG
rnacentral:rRNA from 1 species